rnacentral:rRNA from 1 species
AUUGAACGCUGGCGGCAUGCCUUACACAUGCAAGUCGAACGGCAGCACGGGAGCAAUCCUGGUGGCGAGUGGCGAACGGGUGAGUAAUAUAUCGGAACGUGCCCAGUAGUGGGGGAUAGCCCGGCGAAAGCCGGAUUAAUACCGCAUACGACCUGAGGGUGAAAGCGGGGGAUCGCAAGACCUCGCGCUAUUGGAGCGGCCGAUAUCAGAUUAGCUAGUUGGUGGGGUAAAGGCCUACCAAGGCUACGAUCUGUAGUUGGUCUGAGAGGACGACCAGCCACACUGGGACUGAGACACGGCCCAGACUCCUACGGGAGGCAGCAGUGGGGAAUUUUGGACAAUGGGCGCAAGCCUGAUCCAGCAAUGCCGCGUGCAGGAAGAAGGCCUCGGUUGUAACGUAGUACUUUGUUCUAGGAAGGAAAGUACUUAC